CCUACGGGUGGCAGCAGUGAGGAAUAUUGGUCAAUGGGCGAGAGCCUGAACCAGCCAAGUCGCGUGAGGGAGUACUGCCCUAUGGGUUGUAAACCUCUUUUGUCGGGGAGCAAAAGCCGGACGUGUCCGGCUGUGAGAGUACCCGAAGAAAAAGCAUCGGCUAACUCCGUGCCAGCAGCCGCGGUAAUACGGGGGAUGUGAGCGUUAUCCGGAUUUAUUGGGUUUAAAGGGUGCGCAGGCGGAUUUUUAAGUCAGCGGUAAAAUCGUGGGGCUCAACCCCAUCCAGCCGUUGAAACUGGGGAUCUAGAGUGUGCGAGAGGUAUGCGGAAUGCGUGGUGUAGCGGUGAAAUGCAUAGAUAUCACGCAGAACCCCGAUUGCGAAGGCAGCAUACCGGUGCACAACUGACGCUCAGGCACGAAAGCGUGGGUAUCGAACAGGAUUAGAUACCCUUGUAGUC
rnacentral:rRNA from 1 species